rnacentral:rRNA from 1 species
GCAGCAGUGGGGAAUCUUGGACAAUGGGCGCAAGCCUGAUCCAGCCAUGCCGCGUGAGUGAUGAAGGCCUUAGGGUCGUAAAGCUCUUUCAACUGUGAAGAUAAUGACGGUAGCAGUAGAAGAAACCCCGGCUAACUCCGUGCCAGCAGCCGCGGUAAUACGGAGGGGGUUAGCGUUGUUCGGAAUUACUGGGCGUAAAGCGUACGUAGGCGGAUUAGAAAGUUGGGGGUGAAAUCCCAGGGCUCAACCCUGGAACUGCCUCCAAAACUACUAGUCUAGAGUUCGAGAGAGGUGAGUGGAACU